CCCGCAACGAGCGCAACCCUUGCCAUUAGUUGCUACAUUCAGUUGAGCACUCUAAUGGGACUGCCGGUGACAAACCGGAGGAAGGUGGGGAUGACGUCAAGUCCUCAUGGCCCUUAUAGGUGGGGCUACACACGUCAUACAAUGGCUGGUACAAAGGGUUGCCAACCCGCGAGGGGGAGCUAAUCCCAUAAAGCCAGUCGUAGUCCGGAUCGCAGUCUGCAACUCGACUGCGUGAAGUCGGAAUCGCUAGUAAUCGUGGAUCAGAAUGUCACGGUGAAUACGUU
rnacentral:rRNA from 1 species